rnacentral:rRNA from 1 species
UAUCUCUGUAGAGUCUGCAUAUCAAUAAGCGGAGGAAAAGAAACUAACAAGGAUUCCCUUAGUAACGGCGAGUGAAGCGGGAAGAGCUCAAAUUUGAAAUCUUCAAGGUUUUACCUUGACGAAUUGUAGUUUAAAGAAGUGUUUUCUGUUGAAGUUUCGGUAAAAGUUCUUUGGAAUAGGACAUCAUAGAGGGUGAGAAUCCCGUAUUUGACCGUUAUUUUCAGCUGUGUGAUACACUUUCAACGAGUCGGAUUGUUUGGGAAUGCAGUCCAAAAUGGGUGGUAAAUUUCAUCUAAAGCUAAAUACUGGCGAGAGACCGAUAGCGAACAAGUACCGUGAGGGAAAGAUGAAAAGAACUUUGAAAAGAGAGUUAAACAGUACGUGAAAUUGUCAAAAGGGAAGCGUUUGACACCAGUGUUGUUUUCUCGAAAAUCAAUUAAAAAUGGCUGAUUUUGUGUUGUAUUGACUUUAUCAGCUUUCUGCACUUUUUUCUUGUCUUUUUUAAUGCACUUUUCGUUUAACAAGUCAACAUCAAUUUCUUUUGUUGUAAAAGGGUCAUUGGAAGGUGGCUUUCUUUUCGGAGAAAGUGUUUAUAGCCUUUGACUUCUGCAAUCGGAGAGAUUGAGGUCUGCAGCGUAGAUCCUUCGGGGUUAGAUGCAUUUGUGCUAAGUUAUAGCCUUUCAUAGACAACUUGUUGACUAUGAUCAGUCAUGUAGCUUACUCGCUUAUGUUAUUUUACCUACGCUUAGGAUGUUGAACGCGCACAGAGUCUC